UACAGAGGUCCCGAGCGUUGUUCGGAUUCACUGGGCGUAAAGGGUGCGUAGGUGGUUGGGUAAGUCUGAUGUGAAAUCCCCGAGCUCAACUCGGGAACUGCGUCCGAUACUGGCGGGCUUGAAUCCGGGAGAGGGAUGCGGAAUUCCAGGUGUAGCGGUGAAAUGCGUAGAUAUCUGGAGGAACACCGGUGGCGAAGGCGGCAUCCUGGACCGGCAUUGACGCUGAGGCGCGAAAGCUAGGGGAGCAAACGGG
rnacentral:rRNA from 1 species